rnacentral:misc_RNA from 1 species
GAUGAAGAACGCAGCGAAAUGCGAUAAGUAAUGUGAAUUGCAGAAUUCAGUGAAUCAUCGAAUCUUUGAACGCAUCUUGCGCUCCUUGGUAUUCCGAGGAGCAUGCCUGUUUGAGUGUCAUUAAAUUCUCAACCUUACUAGCUUUUGCGAAGUAAGGCUUGGAUGUGGGGGUUACUUUUGCUGGCUUCUAACGAGGUCGGCUCCCCUGAAAUGCAUUAGCGGUGCCCUUGUGGACCCCGACUAUCAGUGUGAUAAUUAUCUACGCUGUUAGGCGCCCACGCUUUAGUGCUGCUUCUAACCGUCCGGUUUCUGGACAACACAAAUGACAUUUUUGACCUCAAAUCAGGUAGGACUACCCGCUGAACUUAAGCAUAUCAAUAAGCGGAGGA